UGGGGAAUUUUGGACAAUGGGCGCAAGCCUGAUCCAGCCAUGCCGCGUGUCUGAAGAAGGCCUUCGGGUUGUAAAGGACUUUUGUCAGGGAAGAAAAGGGCGGGGUUAAUACCCCUGUCUGAUGACGGUACCUGAAGAAUAAGCACCGGCUAACUACGUGCCAGCAGCCGCGGUAAUACGUAGGGUGCGAGCGUUAAUCGGAAUUACUGGGCGUAAAGCGGGCGCAGACGGUUACUUAAGCAGGAUGUGAAAUCCCCGGGCUCAACCUGGGAACUGCGUUCUGAACUGGGUGACUAGAGUGUGUCAGAGGGAGGUAGAAUUCCACGUGUAGCAGUGAAAUGCGUAGAGAUGUGGAGGAAUACCGAUGGCGAAGGCAGCCUCCUGGGAUAACACUGACGUUCAUGCCCGAAAGCGUGGGUAGCAAACA
rnacentral:rRNA from 2 species